rnacentral:rRNA from 1 species
CCUACGGGUGGCAGCAGUGGGGAAUAUUGCACAAUGGGGGAAACCCUGAUGCAGCGACGCCGCGUGAGUGAAGAAGUAAUUCGUUAUGUAAAGCUCUAUCAGCAGGGAAGAAAAUGACGGUACCUGAGUAAGAAGCCCUUGCUAACUACUUGACAGCAGCCGCGGGAAUACUUAGGGGGCAAGCGUUAGCCGGAUUUAGUGGGUGUAAAGGGAGCGUAGACGGCGGUGCAAGUCUGGAGUGAAAGGCGGGGGCGCAACCCCCGGACGGCUCUGGAAACUGUACGUCUGGAGUGCAGGAGGGGAAAGUGGAAUUCCAGGUGUAGCGGUGAAAUGCGUAGAUAUAAGGAGGAACACCAGUGGCGAAGGCGACUUUCUGGUCUGUAACUGACGUUGAGGCGCGAAAGCGUGGGGAGCAAACAGGAUUAGAUACCCCAGUAGUC